rnacentral:rRNA from 1 species
GACGAACGCUGGCGGCGUGCUUAACACAUGCAAGUCGAACGGAAAGGCCCUGCUUUUGUGGGGUGCUCGAGUGGCGAACGGGUGAGUAACACGUGAGUAACCUGCCCUUGACUUUGGGAUAACUUCAGGAAACUGGGGCUAAUACCGGAUAGGAGCUCCUGCUGCAUGGUGGGGGUUGGAAAGUUUCGGCGGUUGGGGAUGGACUCGCGGCUUAUCAGCUUGUUGGUGGGGUAGUGGCUUACCAAGGCUUUGACGGGUAGCCGGCCUGAGAGGGUGACCGGCCACAUUGGGACUGAGAUACGGCCCAGACUCCUACGGGAGGCAGCAGUCGGGAAUAUUGCACAAUGGGCGGAAGCCUGAUGCAGCAACGCCGCGUGCGGGAUGACGGCCUUCGGGUUGUAAACCGCUUUCGCCUGUGACGAAGCGUGAGUGACGGUAAUAGGUAAAGAAGCACCGGCUAACUACGUG